rnacentral:rRNA from 1 species
ACGCUGGCGGCGUGCCUAACACAUGCAAGUCGCACGAGAAAGGGGCUUCGGCUCUGAGUAAAGUGGCGCACGGGUGAGUAACACGUGAAUUAUCUACCUCCGAGUGGGGAAUAACUGAGAGAAAUCUUAGCUAAUACCGCAUAACACUUACGAGUCAAAGCAGCAAUGCGCUUGGAGAGGAGUUCGCGGCCNNNNAGUUAGUUGGCGGGGUAAUGGCCCACCAAGACGAUGAUCGGUAUCCGGCCUGAGAGGGCGCACGGACACACUGGAACUGAAACACGGUCCAGACUCCUACGGGAGGCAGCAGUGGGGAAUUUUGCGCAAUGGGGGAAACCCUGACGCAGCAACGCCGCGUGGAGGAUGAAAUCCCUUGGGAUGUAAACUCCUUUCGAUAGGGAAGAUUAUGACGGUACCUAUAGAAGAAGCCCCGGCUAACUUCGUGCCAGCAGCCGCGGUAAUACGAGGGGGGCAAGCGUUGUUCGGAAUUAUUGGGCGUAAAGGGCGCGUAGGCGGUUUGACAAGUCUGAUGUGAAAUCUCUGGGCUCAACCCAAAGUCUGCAUUAGAAACUGUCGGGCUUGAGUAUGGGAGAGGUGAGUGGAAUUUCCG